rnacentral:misc_RNA from 1 species
GAUGAAGAACGCAGUGAAAUGCGAUAAGUAAUGUGAAUUGCAGAAUUCAGUGAAUCAUCGAAUCUUUGAACGCAUCUUGCGCUCCUUGGUAUUCUGAGGAGCAUGCCUGUUUGAGUGUCAUUAAAUUCUCAACUACACUGACUUUGAAUCGGUGUGGCUUGGAUUUGGGGGGAAAAUUGUUGUGGGCUUUUUGUAUAGUCUGCUCCCCUGAAAUUGAUUAGCGGUACCUUUGUGGAACUGUCUACAGGUGUGAUAAUUAUCUACAUCUUAGACAUCUGCUGGAAUGCUGCUUUCUAAACCUUACUUGUAUUGACAAUCUUGACCUCAAAUCAGGUAGGACUACCCGCUGAACUUAAGCAUAUCAAUAAGCGGAGGA